rnacentral:lncRNA from 1 species
CGGCAGGCUCCUCCAUCACCACAUCCACCACCUCCUCUCCUCAUCCUGCACUCUGACUCUCCUCGUCGUAGUAGUGUUCGAUCGUGUGUGUGCAAGUACAGCAAUGGGGUUUGGGCGGAAGGUUGGAGAGGGUGGGGUUAGCAGGUGGCUCCUCCUGCUCGCCGGGGUGCUGCUGGCGGUGGCUGUCACGGUGACGGCCGGUGACGCUGCGGAGGAGGGAGCCACCGCUGGCGACUACACGUUUGGCGCUGUGGAGGAGGGAGCCACCGCGGGCAAAGACAGCCUCCACGGUAGCCGAGCUAUGUGCGAGCUCAAGUGCCAACAUCAUCAAGAUCCAGUGAACAAGCAGCGGUGCAUCGACUUCUGCAUACGGUGGCAGCUAGCACUACUGUUUGACGUUAAGGAGGAGGAUGGAGCCACCACCACUGACGCCAUCACCGCUGGUGAGGACGGCAUCUGCGCCAGCCGGCGCAUAUGCAAGCUCAAGUGCCAGCACCAUCACGACACGGUGAACAACAACCGGUGCACCGACUUCUGCAUAGGGUACCAAGUGGCACUAGAUGCCAUUAUGGAGAAUGGAGCCACCGUCACCGCUGGUGAGGACACGUUACGCGGUAGCAGGCUUAUGUGCGAGCUAAAGUGUCAGCACCACAAUAACCCGGUGAACAAGAAGAGGUGCGUCGACUUCUGCAUUCGGUACCAGCUGGCACUGCAUGAUAUCAAUGAUGGAGCCACCGCCGCCGCCGCCGGCGGAGCCAUCCGCCAGGUGGUGUGACGCCGGCGCAUGCAUGGACGGCAUGAAUAAGGGCCUAAGUACGUGUCGCUGGAUAUUUACGGACCGCUCGUGUGCGUUUGUCUUUUACGUUGAUGUGUGUGUGAUGUGUGAGAGGCCCUGACCGAAGCUUACGUAUUCGGUUUCACUAGUACUUGUUGUCUCUGGUUCUACUGCGUUUGUAAGAGCCUUUGCAAGUGACUUGUCAGUUGUGAUGAAUAAAGCAACAGGCUCUUUUUCGUUCAGAGUGGAUUUGUAAAAAGCACUGGCCAGUUAGGUUUAUUUUGAACAAGAUCGUCAUCUCCUCUUUUAGCACGCUAGGUCAUCUCGAGAAUGAUUAAAUUCUCAACUCAUAAAUGGACAAUAUUGUUGGUAUAGGUGGGUAAUCACCAGUGACAUAUCACUAUACUAUGCAUAUACACUCACACAUAUAAACACUGAAACACACAUGCUACAUGCACACAAACUCAGUUCGCGAUACCAAGGCGUGCCCGCAAUCGGGGUUAUUCAUUUCCAGUGGAUCAAGUUUAUGUUCACUGGAAUGCACGACAACAUGAGCAUCCAAAAUGGAAACAAGCCCAUCCCACCUAACCGUUC